UCCCGGUUAGCUUAGCGGAAGAGCGUCUGACUUUUAUUCCAAGGGAUUUCUGCGUUCUUGACAAGUUCGCGAAAUCAGAAGGCCGCGGGUUCGAUCCCCGCACUGGGAG